rnacentral:rRNA from 1 species
GAGUUUGAUCCUGGUUCAGAUUGAACGCUGGCGGCAUGCCUUACACAUGCAAGUCGAACGGCAGCACGGGGGCAACCCUGGUGGCGAGUGGCGAACGGGUGAGUAAUACAUCGGAACGUGUCCUGUAGUGGGGGAUAGCCCGGCGAAAGCCGGAUUAAUACCGCAUACGCUCUACGGAGGAAAGGGGGGGAUCUUAGGACCUCCCGCUACAGGGGCGGCCGAUGGCAGAUUAGCUAGUUGGUGGGGUAAAGGCCUACCAAGGCGACGAUCUGUAGCUGGUCUGAGAGGACGACCAGCCACACUGGGACUGAGACACGGCCCAGACUCCUACGGGAGGCAGCAGUGGGGAAUUUUGGACAAUGGGGGCAACCCUGAUCCAGCAAUGCCGCGUGUGUGAAGAAGGCCUUCGGGUUGUAAAGCACUUUUGUCCGGAAAGAAAACGCCGUGGUUAAUACCCGUGGCGGAUGACGGUACCGGAAGAAUAAGCACCGGCUAACUACGUGCCAGCAGCCGCGGUAAUACGUAGGGUGCAAGCGUUAAUCGGAAUUACUGGGCGUAAAGCGUGCGCAGGCGGUCCGCUAAGACAGAUGUGAAAUCCCCGGGCUUAACCUGGGAACUGCAUUUGUGACUGGCGGGCUAGAGUAUGGCAGAGGGGGGUAGAAUUCCACGUGUAGCAGUGAAAUGCGUAGAGAUGUGGAGGAAUACCGAUGGCGAAGGCAGCCCCCCUGGGCCAAUACUGACGCUCAUGCACGAAAGCGUGGGGAGCAAACAGGAUUAG